rnacentral:lncRNA from 1 species
CAUCAAUAAAAUCAAGUCUCCUUUAAUCUAAAAUGAUAAAAAUAUCUCAAAUCCAAAAGUCCACCACUCCACAUCUCGACUCAGCUCCACUUUUCUCCUACAACAACCUUCAACACCCUGGUGGCUAGUUCGAGAUUAGUCUUUCGUGCUCAUAUCAUAGAAAGAAUUCCAAAUAAACAUUGGAAUAUAAAACAUAUUAUUUCAUAAAAAUUAUCAAUAUUAUCUAAAUAGGUAUACAACAUAAGGAACCAUUUUUCUGUAACCCUAAAUUAUAUACACAUCUUAAUCAUAACACGUAACAAGUAAUCGUCAACAUAGAUUGAAACACAACUCAACCAAGUUAGGUUCAUUAUGAAUCAUAGUAUCAUAGUUCUUAAAUAAUCCAUAAGAUCGUUAUCGUAAUCAUAACGUUAUUUCUUAUACUUAUUUGUAACCUUAUCCAAGGUAUCUUAUUUCUUGUGGGGCGUACUCCAACUUAACUAACUAGCCCUACCGCUCAUUUGUAAGAUUCGUAAAUGUCUCGUAGUAUGUAUCCAUCAGAGAAUAAUUCAUAAGGGCCCGAUUCAUAAUUCAUAAAGGCACUAGUGGCCCAAUUCAUAAUUCGUAAGGGCAACUGCGUCUCAGGUGGUGUGGGCGAUAGUCUAGGUAGUGAGUUUGUAUUUUAAUCCCUCUAUUAUUCAUCUAGGUGAGGCGUUCUUGUCACAGCUCACUUGUCGUAUCUAAACUUAUCAUCAUCUAACGUUUAGUCUAGCCUUAUCAUAGUUUAAAGUCACAUCACUUUGAAUUCAGAAAUAAAACAUAACAUGAAACAUAAUAUGUAACCUAACUACAACAACAUAAAAAUUUACCCCCUUAAACCAACCCACCUUUGAAAUCAAACGGUGAGUGUCCAAAGUGAGGGAUCGAGAUUUAACGUGAAAUCUUGAACGUCUUUAUCAACCUAAAGACGAGGAGAAUGGAUCAAACUAAAUUCUAUCAAAAAAGUGGAACGAGCUCAGGGUGAUGACUUGGAAACUUGGGAAAGACCGCUUCAUAAUCGAUUAUGAAGUGAAAAAAAAGAUUCGAUUUAAUCUACAAGCUUAUAGGAAAAUAAUUUAUAAUUACUACUUUACCAAAUAACUACUAAUCAAUUAUAUUCAUUUACAAAUUCGUAAUCAUAUUAAAUUUACCGUAAAUAUAUUAUUAGUUUAGAAUCAUCAUAGUAAGAAUCGGUUCUUAUAAACUAAUUCGUAUCCAAUUGAGAGACCUAAAUACAAAUUCUCAUUAAUUACAACUUCUAUCCAUAAUAAAAUCAUGAUAUUCUUAAUUUAUUAUCACCUUAAAACUAUAAGGAAUUGUAUCUAAGUUCAAAUAAAUUUACGCUCAAUAUCUGGGUUUGUUAUGUCACAUUCCAAAAGUUGCUGGCCGCGACAGUAACAAGGGAAGGUAUAUGACUGAACUGACCGUUUCUAAAAAUAUAUUUGUAACGUAAUGACUGGAGAUAUAGGUACUCUAUCAAAAUUACUAAAUAUGAAAUCUUGAUCACUGAAAAUCCAGUGACUACAAUUCAAAUCCUAUAACUCCUUCCUAGAAACUGGCAUUUCGCCCAAUCUAUGAUCAGAGCUCGGGAUUCCGGCGAGCAUCGAAUCUAUCUCAACUUGACAGGAACCAGAAAUCUAUCACAAGGAAAAGCUUCCUGACCUUCGUUUGAAUCUAUCGCACUACUUUGGAUCAUUCGAAUCAACCUAGAAAUCUGAAACGCGACGAACGGAAGGGCGGCAAACAGAGGCGUUGUCGACAAGGAUUUAUUCCUCUGGAAUAUAAAUCUAAGCUUAGCACACUAAUCUUAAGAUGGCUUAUGGGACCAAAGACUUUGUAAUGGAUGGUCAACUAAAUCCCCUUACCUCAAGAGAGAAAUACGUUCGGUUGGAGGCUCAACGUCGUCGUUUGAGUAUGCAGCGACUUGCCUCCUCCUGGAAAUAGGGAGGGUUAACUACAAAAUUGCGUAUGAAUUCUGAAACGAGAGAGUUCGAAAGGAAAGCCAUAUCGAGUUCUUACUUUGCUCUUGGCCUCGACUUAGCCGAUGACAUUACCAUCGCCGAGUUAAAGAUGAAGAAUCGGUCCCCUGGUUUCCGUCCAAUGACGGGAACUAAGAGAGGAGAUUCUAUUCGGAAAAUGAGGGAAUGCGUGAGGAUAAUUUGUAUCCCAAAAUUUCACAGCUGUCGAGCCGAAAUCAUGGAGUAAAGAAGGAAGGCACGGGUCUGAAGAAUUGGAAAGAAAUUCUCGGAGGAAAAGGA